GGGUAACCUGCCCUAUGCUGGAUAAUAACCUCGGGAGACUGAGAAUAAUGAUCCAUAGUUCACUACGCCUGGAACGGUGAGUGGAUGAAAGCUCCGGCGGCAUAGGAUGGGCCUGCGGCGUAUCAGGUUGUAGGGGGUGUAACGUACCCUCUAGCCCUCUACGCGUACGGGUGUUGGGAGACAUAGCCCGGAGAUGGAUUCUGAGACACGAAUCCAGACCCUACGGGGUGCAGCAGGCGCGAAAACUUGGCAAUGCGAGAAAUCGUGACCAGGGAACUCCAAGUGCAUCGGGUAAGACCGGUGCUUUUCUUGACUCUAAAUAGGUCUUGGAAUAAGGGGUGGGUAAGGACGGUGCCAGCCGCCGCGGUAAUACCGGCGCCUCAAGUGGUAGUCGCUUUUAUUGGGCCUAAAACGUCCGUAGCCGGUCUGAUACAUUCGUGGGUAAAUCAACCAGCUCAACUGGUUGAAUUCUGCGAGGACGGUCAGACUUGGGACCGGGAGAGGUGUGGGGUACGCUCAGGGUAGGGGUAAAAUCCUGUCAUCCUGAGCGGACCACCUGUUGCGAAGGCGCCACACUAGAACGGAUCCGACGGUCAGGGACGAAGCCUAGGGGCACGAACCGGAUUAGAUACCCGGGUAGUCCUAGGUGUAAACGCUGUGGACUUGAUGUUGGGGGUGCUCCGAGCACUCUCAGUGUCGAAGCGAAGGUGAUAAGUCCACUGCCUGGGAAGUACGGUCGCAAGGCUGAAACUU
rnacentral:rRNA from 1 species